GCCUUGUACAUACCACGCAUACAACAAGUCUACUCUAUCGCUAUUCGAUGCUACGCAAGUUAUUUUAUUUUUGGCUAUGGCGGAUCAUGUGCGAAGCCGUUCAUAAAUAGGUUAGUUUGACGUCUGCUAAAUCAUUGGUGGCUCACGUUGCCGCUCGGUGGCCGGAGGUUGUCUGGGGUAUCAAUGGUAUCGUGUGUUGGAGGUCACUGCGGUGGUAAGUUUUUUGUGUUUUGGAGAAGGGCCGCGGGCAUGUUUGGCCAUCGUUGUUUUGUUUCAGUGGCUGCGUGGCGGAGGAGUGGUCCAGUAACGGUGGUUAGAGGUUCAGUUUCGCUGAGUUACGGGUUCUCUUGAUGUUGCUUGUCUGUGAAGUGCAACCGACGAGCGCCGGACAGCGAACGAGGCGUUCAGAGUUGUCUUUUGAGGUUUUUUGAUGCGGUAUUUGUGAUUGUUUAAGGACUCUUAGUCUGCGAUUGGCGAUGGCUCAUUUAGAAAAUCAACCUACUUGAGGUUCUGCAUGCUUGGUGUCAGGGUUGUCAUGACCAGCUUCCACAUAUUGUAUUCAACUAAUGAUCUUUUGUGAGAGUUCGUGAGUGCUUGACAUGGUUCUGCGCGAUCCUCUCAAUCAGGCUGCCGAGGGCAGUACGGAGUAGUUGCGUGUUGUUGUGUCGUAUGCUACAACAUGAUACAUCUCUCACUGAGUAGACGCAUUAAGUGCGUUGAUGAGCUAGCUGGAACUGACGUAAGUAACAAUGACAUAUUGCUGUCAUUUUGCGAUGUUUUACAAUGCAGGAGCAUAAAAUUGUGAGCUCAAAUAGUGUUUGGCACUUUGUAUCACUGAAGCCAGAUGAUUUGAACAAUGUCAUUAUCAUACAUAGACUGUAGAAACACCUGAAGCUAUUGAUCUCUACUUUGUUGUAACCGAUCUUUAUGGAAAGUGCACGAAAAUGUGUAUGCUGUGAUCGCACGAUUGGUGACAUCAGUAACUUGAGGUGUUUCUACAGGCUACUUAUGCUUGAUGAUUAUCUUAGGAGAGUAGGUAAAUGAUCAUCUGCUACUGCAAUAGGUCCAUUCAGCUCUAAUGGACCAUUGAUCCUAACAGUGCGUUGUCGACUCAUAAGGUACGUCUUACAUUAGUCGGUAACCACAGCACACCUCAAAUUCUUAGAUCAUUUGAAACAUCACCUGUAAAUUGACGACGCUUCUGGUGAAGCUUGGAACAAUAAUUUGGUAUGUUUUAGAGAGGAAGGCGGAAUGAAGAAGGGGAAGUCGAUCGCUACUUUGAUGCAACAGACACCAUCAAACCUCAACGACUUGACGCUGCGACAGACAAGCAAGUAGAGCAUACGUUUCGACGGAAUGCUCUCCUCCUUGAAUUUUGAAGUGGCGACAGCGCACAUGCCAGUCCAAACCACUCUCGAAGGGUUAUACCAGUCAGUCAGGAGCGUGUGCUUGUCUAGUGUACUAUUCUGCUGAUUCCUAGGUUCUUACAUGUCUCCUAAUCGUGCCCUUAGUAGUGGCUUCUUUUAAUAGGAUUGUCAUUGUAGCACUAAUUGUAGUAUAAGUACUCAAUUUGCAGUUCAAAUGUAGGUGUUAUGAGGGUCUUCUAUUCGGUCAAUAUCAGCUGAGUCAAUGCUUAGGAUUUAGAAAACGACCAUUUGCAGCGACCAGUUUUGUGCAUGAUCGCGACCACUCAAGUGAAAGCGGAUGUGGUUGUUAUGAACGGCACGAUGUAAGAAUCAAGUGUACGAAACGUUAUUACACAAAAACGCAUUGCAAUUCAAACUGAGUACAUUUCCUGAUCAUGCAAGACCAGUCGCAAUCAAACUUCCCGUGCAUGCCCUGUGGAUGGUCUGAUUAAACUGCCACAGUUGUGCCGCCUGGAUCGUGGUUUCAACAUGCUCAGUAUCUCAAUAAACAAAAUAUUGGCGAAAAGUGUGAUAGUAGCUCUCGAAAGCAAGUUCUGUACCGGGUGUGGUAGCCGCAUAAACAAGACUCCAGGCCUGGGAAUCAGUUGAAGGACAGUGCAUGUCUGGCGCAUAAACGUGAGUUGCGAAGAUGGUAACUCCAAGUUGAAAUAGGUGGAAACGAUAAAUUAGACAUGCCUGGAGUUCGCCGAGCUGACUCGAAGUUCACCCUGUUUACAUUCUUCGUUCACCUUCUUUCCUCAUUCCUGACGGACUUGCGUUGGAAUCUGUCAGCAGGUAGUGCGGACCUUCUAUUUCAUAACUUGCAGCUGCUUUUGCUUUACGGUUGUGUGUGAUCGGCGCCUCUCUGGGUGGAGUUGAUCUGUUGCAUUGAUUUAUAAGGAUUAUGCACAAUUUUUGAUACAGUGGUGGGUUUGACACUUCCACUCUCUAACCGCUCAACGGAUUCAUCGAAUUGAUUUCUUGAUUGCCAGCGUUAUGCAAUCUUGCUCGACUCAAGGUUGUUGCAUUCUCAUAUCAGUCCUUCACACUCUGCAUACUCUACCGUUGGUGCAACUGUGAUCGGGCUACUGGAACGUUUCCAGACACAAAAAGAGAAACUGUGUGCUUUAUCUUACUAAAACAUUGAGUCUGCUGCGCAGAUGGCCUUCACAUUAGGGUAAAGUUGUUUUUGUUUGGUAGAUAGUAAGACUGUCUGGGUCGAUGUUCCCUGCUCUAUGUACUGGCGUACACGCCGUUUUGGUAGUACCGUCGUGCGAUUGGAUUAGUCUAGUGCUUUUACGAACUUUUACCACUGCUGUUACACUUGGAGUGUAGUUUUUCAACGAAGGUGUUUUUCUCGAAGACAACUGUGUAGGAGGUAAAUAUGAUACAUAACUAAUGCGACAAAUAGUAUGUGCUCGUCUGUUUGAAAUACCCACUUAUGGAGCUAUCAGCUGACUCAUUCAUUUCGGAAUGGCGUUGGCUCAACGUUGGAGACAACAUAAGUGUUUGAAACACCUGUUUCAACCUACAAUCAAAGGAUGACUUAGUCCUACAUGACGUAAUAGUUUGUGUGAAGUACUUCCUGCACUUCGCAACUUGCUACACGGACUGUUGUAGUGACAUUCUGUUAUUGAAGCGCACUUGAUAACCGAGUCAAGAAAGAGACGAUGAUGUCCGUAACAUUCUUGAGAAACCCCUCUGAUUACCCUUGACUUUGCACACUCUUUACUUUGCAGCACCAGAAUCUCUGCAUACUCUUUUGUAGCCUUUUAGAGCUCGACUGGAGAAAGUUGAGAUCCUUCCAAGCCAAUGACUCUUCAAGGCCGUCACUGGUGAGAGUGUGUUUUCACAGCUUCGAUUCUCUUUCAUUUGCUUGCUGGGGGUGCUUUUCCUUAGAAUGUUGUCAUUCCUAUUAAUUCAGCAAUAAACAUUCAGAUCGAUCAUUUUUGAGACCGUUCUGAUUCAUAGUGUAAGCAAAUGUCAUCAUCAUAGAAGUAAAAUGAUAAAAUGGCUCA